rnacentral:misc_RNA from 1 species
UACGAACCGUACGAACGUUAUUCGGAAUCACUGGGCUUAAAGGGUGCGUAGGCGGCGCGAAAAGUUGGGUGUGAAAUCCCCCGGCUCAACCGGGGAAUUGCGCCCAAAACUGUCGUGCUUGAGGGAGAUAGAGGUGAGCGGAACUUAGGGUGGAGCGGUGAAAUGCGUUGAUAUCCUAAGGAACACCCGUGGCGAAAGCGGCUCACUGGAUCUUUUCUGACGCUGAGGCACGAAAGCUAGGGGAGCGAACGGG